CUCUGUUUCCAGCCCUUCUGCGCCUUUUGCGGUUCGUUCCUUGUCAGUGACUGCAUGAGAGAGGAACACUGCAACUGAGACCUGCCUGCUGCUUUUUCGUGUUAUAAAGGAGUGGUUAGGAUCUAGCUUAGCUUAGCUAUUCUAUUCAAUUAUUAGUAGUAUUAAAAUUCAAUUUAUUUCUUUGAAUAGUGUAGCAGGACACUAAGGUGCCUGCUACUAGGAGAGCCAGGAAGGCUCAUCAGGUGCCGGUCGCUAAGGCAACAAAAGGGGGCUAAUGGGUUACACCUGCCUAGCCGGCGGAAAGAAGGGGCAGGGCCUGGCCUUUAUAAACCACAAGCUGAGGCCAGAGGCAGUUCCCUACCAGCAUCCAAGGCAAAAGGAGCUCCCUGCCAGCAGCCACAGAGAGAAGCUCCUGGGAGCAAUGAUGUGAGGAGAAGCCUGACUGCAGGUUGAAAUAGGGAUGAGCCAUGUCUGGAUCCAGAGUCACCAUCGCUGGCAGAGAGAAUCACAGCGUCAGGGCAGAGCUCAGCCCGGGGACAAGCAGGGCCGUUCCUCCCCCUCCCCAGCAGCCCCGUCCUGCCUGGGAUCAUCCUGGGCACCAGUGGCUGCCUCUGCCCUGAGCCCAGAGGCUGAGCACAGACGGCCUCGCAGCUCCCCAGCCUGGCACUGGCAGCAACUCCUGCCCCUGGCCCCCCUGAGGGGGCUGCCCCAUUCCCAGGAGCAGGGACCCAGGCAGGAAGGGCCCCAGAGCUGUGAUUUGGGCAGGAACGGGGGGGGAACAGCCUCACGCUCCCUCCUCUGACCUGCCCUGCACUCCCAGGCUGUGAAUGGAGGUGAAGCAGCAGCUGUGGAGAGGAUCCGCUCCUGCAGUAAGGGAGGAGGAGGCUGCAGGAACCAUCUUGCCAUCUCCACAUCAGGGAGCAGCUGCCCAGGAAGAGCGUGGCUCUACCAAAAGAGAGGGUGGAGGUUGAAGAACCAGGGGAAAGGAGAGGACACAGCAGCCCUGAGGGACACCUGCCACCUCCCACCUCUGAAUCUAAUUUCUGUGCAGCAGUCUGAGCUCAGAGAUUUGAGGUCUGGGCGUGGAGAAACUGUGCGUGGAUUCUGGGGGGAUUUUGGGAAUUUGCUGUGAAUUGAAGGCCAAUCUCCAUCAGAGCUCCCCUUGGUGUAUGCUUCCUGUGCAUCUCCCCUCCUCUUCUCCAGGUCAGACGUAAGGCUCAGACACAUCAGACUUCCUGCUGUCUGGCUGAUGAGCCCAACCCAGCCCAGCCCAGCUCAGCUCAUGCACUCAGUCUUGAGUGCCUGAGAUGGAGCAGAAAUGCUGUGAUGGCCCCUCUCCCAGCACCUGCUGCCAUGAUGGGCUCAGAAGCUGCAUUUCCCUUUUCCCCUGCAGCAGCACCUCCUCUCCCAGGCAGGAGGGAAGGGAACUGCAGCUCUAGGCCACAGACUGAGCAAGAAGCCUUGGGGGAGGCUCUAUGCUUAACUUACCCACUCCUUCCUGGUGAGGAGAAAGGGAAGAAAAUGGGAUAUCUGGGAAGGGUCACUGCUCAGCAGAGUGGAGGUUGGCUCCACGGCCACUGCUAGCCCUGCCCUGCAGAGUAACUGCAGGAGAGGAACUUGGGAGUCCCCUACUCAGAGCCUGGCACAGACCUUGACACAGGCUGAGGAGUGUUGGGGCCACAGGAAUAACCCAGCCCUAGGCCCCUGGUGUAUUAGUAAAGCUUCUAGUUAUUUUUACCUGGAGGAAAAGGUAUUGUUUUAUGAGGAUGCACCUCAGCAUCUGCACCCCCCUUUUCAAAACUCUAGAUCUGCCCCAUCCCUAUUCAAACCAUCCUAUACAAAUCCAUAAUUUAAACUCUUCAUCAAACUACCACCAACCCUGAUACAACACAAGAGAUAACAUCCUAACCUGCCCUAAGUUAAGUAAGGGAACCACAGCAGCCAAUGUCCUCACUCUAUAAAAGGUCGUUAAUAUAAGCUGAAGAAAUCCCCAGGGAUUGGGCCACAUCCCCCACUACAGAGAAAGACAAAAACCUUUUUCCUUACAGCAUGGCCACCUCCUUAGAAGCUUUUAAAACUUUAGUACUUAAUAUAUUGGAGAGCAAUCUCCAGCCUGAGAACAGUACCUUAAAGCUCGAAUGGGGCUGUCACCUGCCUCCU